GCCAGUGUGGCAUAGUGGUUUGGGUGUUGGAUCAUGACUCUGGAGACCAGAGUUCAAUUCUCUGCUCAGCCA